GGAGAGGAGACGGAGGGAAAUGAUAACUCAAGAGCAGCGUCGGAGAAAGGCCAUAGAAGAUAGAGUGGACCUUAUCAACAGUGUCGAGGAACCAGUAGAUGGCGUCGAACUCCACUGCAAAUUUCCAGAUGGAAGAAUUUCCAAUAGGAGAUUUUAUUUAUCCCAGCCAUUCCAGCAUCUUGUUGCUUUUGUUGGGACUGACGAGAUGGCAUCUGAGGUCUUCACUCUGCAGCGCGCAAUGUCCCCUACUGCCAUCUACAGCAACUGUGCAGGAGCCAUCGUCGAUCAGGGUAUCGAUGGGCCCUGCACAUUGUAUGUGCUUUGGCUGUCAAGCA